CCCUUAGAUGUCCUGGGCCGCACGCGCGCUACACUGACAUGUUCAACAAGUUUCUCCUAGUUCGACAGGACUGGGAAAUCUUUGAACGCAUGUCGUGAUAGGGAUAGAUCAUUGCAAUUAUUGAUCUUGAACGAGGAAUUCCUAGUAAACGCGAGUCAUCAGCUCGCAUUGAUUACGUCCCUGCCCUUUGUACACACCGCCCGUCGCACCUACCGAUUGAAUGUUUCGGUGAAGAUUCCGGAUAGGACUGAUUUGAUUUAUUUCAUUUCUGACCUAAAAGUUAUCUAAACCUCAACAUUUAGAGGAAGGUGAAGUCGUAACA
rnacentral:rRNA from 1 species